rnacentral:rRNA from 1 species
UACGUAGGUGGCAAGCGUUAUCCGGAAUUAUUGGGCGUAAAGCGCGCGUAGGCGGUUUUUUAAGUCUGAUGUGAAAGCCCACGGCUCAACCGUGGAGGGUCAUUGGAAACUGGAAAACUUGAGUGCAGAAGAGGAAAGUGGAAUUCCAUGUGUAGCGGUGAAAUGCGCAGAGAUAUGGAGGAACACCAGUGGCGAAGGCGACUUUCUNGGUCUGUAACUGACGCUGAUGUGCGAAAGCGUGGGGAUCAAACAGGAUUAGA